GAUAGUUUUCCGUCCAUAGUUUUAGUUUAAAGCAUAAGUUUAGCCACGUAUUAUGUAGUGUUGGUGAGAUUCGAUUUCUCAUUGUUCAAUAAAGCCUGUAAAUUUUAGACUUGCUUUGAGUCCAUCUUGGUUUCUGUUUUCCCUCAUCAGCACACUCUGGUCAAUUCAACCUUUUAUCAUAUCCCACCAUAAUUCCGAGGUCUAGAACCUAGGGGAAUCCCUUUUGUUGUAUUCUCUCUCUUGGAAACCGCUCGAGUGGAGUGGUGGCCGUUUGACCCUCUGACAAGGGAGAGAAUAACUCGGGCAGUUGGGCCCGAAGUGAAAUAAAGGGAAACGCAAAACCCCUACAGUCGCGUGGCACAGGCAGUAAUCCUGAGAUUGUUACCUUUGCAGUCCUUCUCCUUAACUCUCUACCUAGCUCCCUAAAUUCUUCUUUCAGGACCUCUUCUCUUUUUUUUACCUAUGUCGUUGGUACCUAUAUGUACCACAACCUCGGGCUCCUCUCCCUCCCAUUUCAGGAUUUCUUGGACACGUUCAGACACAUCCCUGACCCUGGCACCAGGGAGGCAAACCACCAUCCGGGUCUCCUGUCUGCGUCCACAGAAUCGCCUAUCCGACCCCCUGACUAUAGAGUCCCCCAUUACAAUUGCCCUCCCCUUCUUUUCCUUACCCUUCAGAGCAACAGGACCGGUCUUUGUGCCAGAGGCCUGGCCGCUGUCGCUGCCCCCAGGUAGGCUGUCUCCCCCACCCUUACUCAAACAUGAGUACUUAUUUUCAAGGUGUACAGCCACCGGGGUACUCACCAGUCCCUGCCUCUGCCCGUUGCCCUUCCUAACUGUGACCCAGUUUUCUGUCUCCCGUGGUCUUGGAGUGACCACCUCCCUGUAACCAAAGAUCCUAGAGGAGCAAGAUAGACCACUCCUCGAAAAACGCGUAGUAUGACGUGUGUGAUCGUCGACGCCAUUUUUCGAGGCAUUUAUUGGGCUUCCCCCACACUGUCAUGGCGUCCUUAUCUAAAUUUCAUCUCACUGCUCUGCUAUCAAGUAUUCUAAUCGUAAAUCUAAACGACCCACCCUGUCAUUCUUUAGGUUCCCCAAUAAAAAAGAAAGAUGUCAACAGUGGGUCCAGAAUACUCAUCGACAAGAUCUCCUGCACUGAACUGCAGAGUAUUUGUCAAAUAACUGCCGUCUUAUGUACAUUGUGUGAAAUUGUGAUUUGUUAACUGCACAAAACUAAUGCAAAUGGCGAUAUAUUUAUUAUUGUAUCUACGUUGGACAUUUUGCUCUUUGGUGUCAGAACGCGGGGUGGGAGAUUGCAACCUUCACGUGGUCCGCCCUGUUUCGACAAAUGCAAUCAACCCGGUGUGCACAGUCAAAUAAGAUCAAAUAGAACAAGUUGUCCUACAACUUUAGGCUGUGCACGCCAUACGCAAUAAGAAGAAGAAGUGUCAGAACGCAGUCUGAAGAAGGCUUCCGACCUACAACGUCACCUAUUCCUUUUCUCCACAGAUGCUGCCUGACCCACUGAGUUACUCCAGCAUUUUGUGUCUAUCUCUGUUUAGAUUGGACUCGUGGGUGGAGAUUGCGGCUGGUCUGGUGAUCUAGAACGAGGGCCAAAGUCUCAGAAUAUGGGUCAUGAUAUUUAGUAAUGAGACAAGGAGCAGUUUCUUCACUCAAGGGCUGGGAAUCUUGGAAUUCUUUAUUGCGUGAGAUGGUGGAAGUCGAGCCCUUGAAAGGAGAGAUAUUUUUUUUCAAAUACAAAAAGGAUGAAGGAUAAUGGAGAGAAUGUGGGAAUAAGGUGUUGAGUUGCAGGAUCAACAAUAAUCUUACUGAUGGUGGUGUGAACUUAGAUGGAUUAUCCUUGCUUCUAUUUCUUACAGAGACACAGCACGGAAACAGGCCCUUUGGCCCACCGCGUCCGCAUUGACCAGCGAUCCACGCACACUAACACCAUCCUACACACACUAGGGACAAUUUACACUUAUACCAAGCCUACAAACCUGUAUGUCUUUGGAGUGUGGGAGGAAACCGAAGAUCUCGGAGAACACCCAUUCAGUCACGGGGAGAAUGUACGAACUCAGUACAGACAGCACCCACUGUAAGGCCGCAACUUUACUGCUGCACCACCAUGCCGCCUUUAAUCCAUUAGGGCACUGGGUUACAAUAAACUUCCUACAUAUUCCAGGAAUGAUUCUCAUAAAAAUGGGAGAGGUUUAAAUGCAUUGUAAAAUCUGCUCUCAGUUUCCUAGAUCGGUAUUGCUCUAAUGGCCUCUUUGUAUCAUUUUCUUUGAUUUAAACCAUUCAUUGUUUUGCAUUUAGAUUUUAUUUUUCCCCUGUGGAUCACAAGGCACUGUUUGUUUCAGGGGUGACUCUAAUCUCCAGCGUAAUUUGACAAGACAGCCAAGAGGGCAAACACAGGCAGUUCAGAGCUGCUGCCUGUAUCGCAUGAGAGAACAAGAAUGAGACCAACUUGUUUUUUGCAGAUCAUCAACCCCUGACUGAUGUUAUCAAUGCCGAUGGUGACUCAAGGAGACUCAACCAGGUGGUGGUUUACAAAGGUCCAUGCCCAUUGUUCCUCAUGGCAUACCACCAGCCUCAACAGAUCACCUAGUCAUAGAGUCUCACAGCGUAGAAGCAGGCCCUUCAGCUCAACUUGCCCACGCUGGCCAACAUGUCCCAUCUACACUAGUCCCACAUGCCUGCAUUUGGCCCAUACCCCUCUAAACCUGUCCUAACCAUCAAAUAACCUAACAGAACUGUCAUAUGAGGAAAGAUUUAAAAGACUAGGCUUGUAUUCACUGGAGUUUAGAAGGAUGAGGGGGGAUCUUAUCAUAUUGUUUACAGUGUACUAUGUUUACAGAUUCUGUUGUGCUGCUGAAAGUAAGAAUUUAAUUGUUCUAUCUGGGACAAGCUAGAUGCAGGAAAUUGUUCUACAUGACAAUAAAACACUUGUUAGAUGCAAGGGGAUCUUAUAGAAACAUCUAAAUGAAUAAAAGGACUGAACAAGCUAGAUACAGGAAAAAUGUUCCCAAUGUUGGGCGAGUCCAGAACCAGGGGCCACAGUCUUAGAACAAAGGGGAGGCCAUUUAAGACUGAGGUGAGAAAAAACUUUUUCACCCAGAGAGUUGUGAAUUUGUGGAAUUCCCUGCCACAGAGGGCAGUGGAGGCCAAAUCACUGGGUGGAUUUAAGAGAGAGUUAGAUAGAUCUCUAGGGGCUAGUGGAAUCAAGGGAUAUGGGGAGAAGGCAGGCAUGGGUUAUCGAUUGGGGCUGAUCAGCCAUGAUCACAAUGAAUGGCGGUGUUGGCUCGAAGUGCCAAAUGGCCUCCUCCUGCACCUAUUUUCUAUAUUUCUAGAACACUCAUCCAGCAAUCCUCGAGCCCACCAGCUCAUCCCGUAGUCAAUUCAUCAGCUUUUCCAUAAGAACUUCCAUCAGUUCUUCCAAAAGAAUGACAAUCAGCCAAUCUCGAUUACCCUCAGCCCAUCAAGCAGCCCCUUAAUUCGCACAGAAGUCUGAACUAUUGAAUGCUCACUGCAUCUCUUUCCAUGUCAGCAAGUUAAUAUCCAGCUGCAUAUGAACCAUGUGAAAAAUGAAUAAAUAGAUGCAUGUGGUGCAGUGAUUUGUGCAGCACUAUAGGCCUGGAGACCAAGAGGAGUUCACCAUUGAACGGAGUUUGAACGGGGGGCUUGAGGCCCCCGACCGAGGAAGAACAAAAGGAAGGGACUUGAACUUUAUUUCGCCUUCCAUCACAGUGAGGAAUGUGUAGGAGUCACUUUGGUGAAUGUCCGUAUUAAAAUGUGUUUUUGAGUGCUGUUGCUUUUAAUUGUAUGACUGACCUGGCCAAUGAAAUUCCUCGUAUAUUGCAAAACAUACUUGGAAAAUAAAAUCUGAUUAUGAUUCUGAAAA